rnacentral:lncRNA from 1 species
AUCCCAAAAAAUAUGGAAUAACCCCUUCAAGGAUCUUCUGUGCUCCUCUAGGGACAGGAAAACACUGCUUGGUUCAGCUUUGCAUCCUCACAACACUUCCUUCAGCACAUCCUUUGGGACAGAUUGGAUACUUAGUUUGGAUUUGUUAACAUUGCUGGUCAUAAAAAUGUCUGCUUCAAAGAAACUGAUAGAUACUGUCCUGAGGAAAUUGGGCUUUGAUGCCUUAUUUGAUUUCCAUGGCAAAUUUCCUUCCAAAAAUUAAUUCUUGCCAUAGAUUUGGAAAGGGAAGGCUCACCUUGAGAAUUCUCAUGCUUCAAGCUGCUGUCGUUACCCUCUGCUCCAGAGCUGAGCUGCACCUACAGAGGAGCCUUUUCCUAGCUCAGACCAGGGCAACAGGCAACACUUGGGAUUUGAAGACACUGGCAAAGAAAAAAGCAGCCCACAAAUAG